rnacentral:lncRNA from 1 species
UUAGUUCUGCUAAAGUCUCCUGUGUAUGAUCCUCAGAAAGACAUAUGAGGGUUUUCCUCAGAACCUAAAUUCUAAACUGCCAGACUGUCUUCUGAAGUGGCUAUAAUAUUUACACUCCCAUCAGCAGUGUAGAAGGGGUCUCACUAUGUUGUCUGGAGUGCUGUGGUGGAGUGGAGUGGCUAUUCACAGAGCCUGUUCUGCUGGGACACAGAAUCACUUGCUCCAUCUCAUACAUUGAUGAUGAUUAAUUUGUAUGUGUACCUUCCAAAAAAGAUGGUUGUGUUUGAAUGGAGGCCUUCUGGACAGGAAAAUAAUCACAUCCUUCCUGAGAUAAUGAGCACACAAUUGCCUGGAUACCUGAAGGAAUGGAGACAGCGGCAGAAAACACUGCAGAGAGGUGGAAACAUCCGUUAAUAUUUUAAAAUCCCAUUACUGCUACCAACAAUAAUAAUGGAUGCAUAGAAAUAGAUCUGGAUUAGCUGAGCUUGAAACAGUCCAUCUCACACACACACAAAAGAAUUUCAGAUACAGUGAACCCACAUGUUGAAGCUUUCUAGUAUAAUAAAAAUUUCAACUGUUCUGUUGAAUCAUCUGCCUGAUUGGAGGCUACAGAAAAGAUGUCAUCUUAGGAGUGCUUGCUCUGAGUGAGGCUCAUCUUCAAAUCUGAAUGACCACAAGGAGAUUUGAUUAUACAUGUGAACACCUCAGAAGGCACAGCCCACCCAGAAGGCAGACAGGUCAGGCUGCUUUUUCUUCAUUGCUUGGAUUCAAUCCUCCGGGCGGCUCAGGCUCAAACAUAACUUAAGCAUGAUUAAACUUUAGAAGAAGCUGCCAGGAAGACUGUGAAAUCUUCAUGCCCAAGGAUCCCUAAAAUUAGGAGCAACAACCACUUGGCUCAGACGGUUUAUGGAGGCAAAGGUUUGGAUGGGAUUAGAGAUUUCUAAAUGUGAGUUCGUGUCCUCUGCCAGACCACCUUACUUCCACCAUUCCUCAGCAAAUCAAGAAAAACAGGAGAAAAGACAUGCCUUUCCAUAAGUUAAAUCUAUUCUGUUUUAAUUCUAUAUUAUAUCUGCUGUACAACUUCUUUUGUUUGUAACACCAUAUUGUUGCUAGUAACUGGAAAUUAAUUUUCACAUGCCUCAGCUUAGAAAAAUAAAAAGCAGCCCUGCAUCAAUCCCA